rnacentral:ncRNA from 1 species
GGUUUUCCUCUGACGGGGGGAAGGGAAUCCGGUGAGAAUCCGGAGCAGUGCCUGCUGCUGUUAGCUCCAUGCGUGGGAGUGCCACAUGUCGCCACUGAUCGUAAGGGUUGGGAAGGCGUGGCAUUUCGGGAGUGAGCCAGAAAACCUGCCGCAA